AUGCUCGUCCAAACCGAUCUUAAAAGAGACAAAAUCCGACAAAUGUUGCUCAGAGCGUCCAAACAGGCCCUCAACGGUGAAUUCGACUUAGGCCCCCCGGACAUCGACUUCUGUGCCGAAGAAAAACCCAAAAAGAGAAAGAAGUCGAGAGAGCGAUGUGUCGUCGCUAGCCCGUGCCAAGUGUCAAUGGGUCGGAUGCGAAGGCGCGAGGAUCGGCAUGUUGAUGAGGACUGUAACAAUGACAGCGAUUGGGUGGACAUCAAUAGACCAGAGCCCGAGGAGUGUCCUAGAUGGACUCCACCGCGGAAGAGGUGGUCGUCCGAAGAUAUAUUCACUCUGUGCAAACUCCUCGCACACGAUGAGGAGGACGCUUACCUGGGCGGGAAGAUGAGAGAUCUCCUUAAAUAUCGCGGCUCCUCAGAUGGGCGAAUCUACAAUGAUCGGCUCUAUAACGCCGCAGGUCGACAGCAGUCCGCGGCGAGUAGAAUAAGAUCGUCAGUCGGCGAUCUACCGUUGCGGGAACCAUCAGCCAAAGAGAAACUAUUGCUCAAAACCCAUUGCAUUCCCCCGCGACAGAUGUCCCUGAGCUCUAUGUCUAGAUAUGGAAACCGCGGAAGGAGUCUCAACGAAGACAAAUUUUUCAUCCCUUAUGCUACACCACGGGACAAGACCGUUUUCAGGACCUGCCCCGAAACGAUGUGCCAACCCGGGUUCCAGAUGAUCCCGACCUGCGAGCGAAGACCCUUGAAGAGCAAGUGCACGAAAAGGCUGUUCAGGUUCCGCUUCCCCCUGAGAUCGCACUGCAAAGGCAAGAGGCCGAAGAUAAAGUACAGGUACGAAAAGGACGGCGAAGACGAUUGGGUUCAGAGAUCCGAAGACGAGGAUCCCCAUAUCCUACCGCCUACGUCAGUCCGGCAGGAUAGGAUUAAAGGCGCUUUUCGAUCCUUCGAAAAAUUGAGGGCGGGAGGUUGUGACGAUGAUGUGUCGUUAGCGUCCUUCGCACCGACGGCACCCUCCUGUCCGCCGAUCUCCAUCCUCCAGGAUUGUGGACCGCCGCCUCCUCAACCUCCUCCCGCAGUACCUCAACGCACUUGCUCGCCCAAUUCUCAAAGAGGACGUUCUCCGCCUCGAUCUACUCCACCACCCAAAUCCGUCCGACAUUACUCUCCUCCCUCUCAUUCUUCCCGCCGUUGCACGCCACCCCCGUCCUUGCCUCCCAAAACUGCUCACCUGCCCAGUCAUACCGCGCCUACUCCCCGCAAUCGCAAUCUUCUUCAACCCCUUACAACUACGCCCCCAGCAGCCCGUCCCGCACGCGACUCCAGAUGUUUGUCAACCCGCUCCCGAGGAAUGCGAGAGCUUCGAAUUACCUCAAGUGCAGAAUUAUUCCAUGCAAUGCAACCCGAUCAAAAAUCCCUGUCCACAGCGAUUAUUCAAAGCGGAAAUCACGCCUUGUCACAGUGCCCCACAAUGCCAACAGUGCCAGUCUACGACGUCUACGAUCUGUUCGGUCUGCGGACCGAUGAAGGUCAAUGA
rnacentral:lncRNA from 1 species